rnacentral:rRNA from 1 species
AUUGAACGCUGGCGGCAGGCCUAACACAUGCAAGUCGAGCGAGCGGCGGACGGGUGAGUAAUGUCUGGGAAACUGCCUGAUGGAGGGGGAUAACUACUGGAAACGGUAGCUAAUACCGCAUACCAUCAGAUGUACCCAUAUGGGAUUAGCUAGUAGGUGGGGUAACGGCUCACCUAGGCGACGAUCCCUAGCUGGUCUGAGAGGAUGACCAGCCACACUGGAACUGAGACACGGUCCAGACUCCUCCGGGAGGCAGCAGUGGGGAAUAUUGCACAAUGGGCGGAAGCCUGAUGCAGCCAUGCCGCGUGUGUGAAGAAGGCCUUCGGGUUGUAAAGUACUUUCAGCGGGGAGGCGUUACCCGCAGAAGAAGCACCGGCUAACUCCGUGCCAGCAGCCGCGGUAAUUC